UACGUAGGGUGCAAGCGUUGUCCGGAAUUAUUGGGCGUAAAGAGCUCGUAGGCGGUUUGUCGCGUCUGCUGUGAAAACCCGAGGCUCAACCUCGGGCCUGCAGUGGGUACGGGCAGACUAGAGUGCGGUAGGGGGAGAUUGGAAUUCCUGGUGUAGCGGUGGAAUGCGCAGAUAUCAGGAGGAACACCAAUGGCGAAGGCAGAUCUCUGGGCCGUAAACUGACGCUGAGGAGCGAAAGCAUGGGGGAGCGAACAGG
rnacentral:rRNA from 1 species